rnacentral:rRNA from 2 species
AAUCCAUAGGUUAAUGAGGCGAACCGGGGGAACUGAAACAUCUAAGUACCCCGAGGAAAAGAAAUCAACCGAGAUUCCCCCAGUAGCGGCGAGCGAACGGGGAGGAGCCCAGAGCCUGAAUCAGCAUGUGUGUUAGUGGAAGCGUCUGGAAAGGCGCGCGAUACAGGGUGACAGCCCCGUACACAAAAGCGCAUGUGCUGUGAGCUCGAUGAGUAGGGCGGGACACGUGGUAUCCUGUCUGAAUAUGGGGGGACCAUCCUCCAAGGCUAAAUACUCCUGACUGACCGAUAGUGAACCAGUACCGUGAGGGAAAGGCGAAAAGAACCCCGGCGAGGGGAGUGAAAAAGAACCUGAAACCGUGUACGUACAAGCAGUGGGAGCACCCUUUGGGUGUGACUGCGUACCUUUUGUAUAAUGGGUCAGCGACUUAUAUUCUGUAGCAAGGUUAACCGAAUAGGGGA